GAGUUUUCAACUCCCAAACCCUUAUGUGAACCUACCUAUCGUUGCUUCGGCGGACUCGCCCCAGCCGGACGCGGACUGGACCAGCGGCCGCCGGGGACCAUCAAACUCUUGUAUUAUCAGCAUCUUCUGAAUACGCCGCAAGGCAAAACAAAUAAAUUAAAACUUUCAACAACGGAUCUCUUGGCUCUGGCAUCGAUGAAGAACGCAGCGAAAUGCGAUAAGUAAUGUGAAUUGCAGAAUCCAGUGAAUCAUCGAAUCUUUGAACGCACAUUGCGCCCGCCAGCAUUCUGGCGGGCAUGCCUGUUCGAGCGUCAUUUCAACCCUCGACCUCCCUUUGGGGAAGUCGGCGUUGGGGACCGGCAGCACACCGCCGGCCCUGAAAUGGAGUGGCGGCCCGUCCGCGGCGACCUCUGCGUAGUAAACCAACUCGCACCGGAACCCCGACGUGGCCACGCCGUAAAACACCCAACUUCUGAACGUUGACCUCGAAUCAGGUAGGACUACCCGCUGAACUUAAGCAUAUCA
rnacentral:rRNA from 1 species